GUGGUUAGAGUGUCAGCCCACAGUCUGGAGAGACCCGGGUCAAUGCAAAAAUGUCCUUGAGUGAAGAUUAAGAAAAAACACAACAACAACAAAGCUUCCAGUCAUCUAGUCCCAAUUCUCCAGGCCUCACUUCAUCUUUGCUCACAAUAGCCUGCUUUAGGUCACUGCUGAAAGGGUGCUUUCUUGCUGAGUUCAGCACUCACCGCUUCCACUGCCGCAGGAGGAUAAGCAGCAGAGUGCACAUCAUGGAGCCAAGGCGGAGGCAGUUUACUGAGGC